AAGUGACAGGGCAAUGAAGUGAAACUCCUGAACAGUGUAAAAGAAAUCUGAGCAUUUUAGUCAUUUCACAAGUGGCUGGUUCUACAAUAGGAUGCUUUGUGCAAUUAAAUUAAUAUAAUAAUUGCCUUCACUGAAGUUAAUGGAACGAUGUAAGUAUAAACACAAUGCAGGAGCACAAUUCAGUCUAUCAGUCACCCUCAUAGAGGGAAUGAUGUCGUCUCCAAAGAGGAUAUCAGAUGCUUCUCUAAUUUAAGGAGGGGAGCCUUUUUCUUUUAGUGCUUGCUGCAGCUUUGAAAAAAGCCAAUAACCUACAUUAGUUCAGCGCUGUUCCCAGUGGGCUGCAAUUACUGUGUGGUCCCUGGUAUAAAUGAGGUUUCCCUCCUGAGGAUUAGCUCUGUCCUCACUGAGCAGCUGAAGUGAAUCAGAGGCUGUAGCUAGGACUAGGCAAGGGACAAGUGCAAAGCUGUAGCUCAGUGAUGAUGACCAUGUCAUUGGGGAAGAGCAGGGAAGGGAGGGGAUGAAGACACCCUUUCAGAGCAGCCAGGCUAAUUUCUUACUAUUACUAAAAGUAGAACAAAUAAAAUAGAAGCUCCAGUGAAUUAUUUACAUUGCUGUGUUUCAAAGCAGAUGGAGAGUUUUAUAUCCCAUUGUGAAAGGCAUGCAAGUUACAGUGACAUGAGUUCUAAUUAUGAACAACUUAAACUACACCAUCUGCAUUUAACAAAGCUCCAUAUGCAGGGAUAUGAUCCAGCUUGGCUGCCUGUAUUUGUCAGCAACACGUGUAAAAUAGAUACCAAGAGGAAGACUCUAAAGACACCUGGCUUUGUGGGAGAAACUGGAAAUGUUUGCAGUGCCCCUUCUGCCUUCACUGACCAAACAGGAAACCAGGAGCAAUAAUCAUUCCAGGACAGAAUUAGUGACUCCAUGUGAAAGGGGCAUUGAUACACACAUUUGCCAAGUUCAGCAAGUUUUAAUUAACACUUGCUUUUCUUUUUUUUCUUUCUUUUUUCCUUAAUUUUUCUUUUUCUUUUUGGCAGAAAAUUUCCCGUCAUCUUCCCCAUGGCAACCUGGGCAGACAGGAUGUAAUUUUAGCUGUCCAUAUUGAAAGCUCAACCCUUUUUACCAUCAACAGCGCACUGCUGUGCAAAUUUGAGCAUAAGGGAUCUGUUGAAUUCAGUUUAAAGAAGAAUAAGAAAAUUAAUCCUCCUUUGGAAAAGGGACGUUUAUUGAGACAAACAGCCCUGUUUUGGGUAACUACCAAAAACACAAAUCAAUAUCCAAAACUUUGACUUUUAAGGGGUUCCCUCUAUGCUCUGUGGGAAGAGGAAUUGUUUUGCUGUUUCUUUAGAGACCAUUAAACACAGUCAGUAACUGAGAAGGGAUUUAGCAGGGAAGUGCUUAUUUUUCAUCUGAUAUUAGCAUUUAGUUCCACUGGAGAAAAUUCAUGAACCUGAGUUACACCUUGCUGGUUCUUCCCUGUCAUUAUAAGCACGUGAAAUACUAGGGAAUUCUAGGAAGCAUGUAAAACCCUUUGGUUGAAAAGACAAAAUUCCAGGUGAAACAAAAUAAUUUUUACUAUAUGUUUGCAUGUGGAAAAAAGGAUGGAGGAGGUCAGAUAUGUAUGUGUGACCUUUGCUUGUCAUAAGUGAUCUGCACUGCAACUCUUCUGACUCUCUCUUCAUAGCUCCAAAAGACCAAAACAGGACUAGCAGUCUCCUAGAUUAGCCCUCACCUAUCCUUUCUCUACCCCACCCAGGAAGGCUUGGAUCUGAAGCAGAGUGAAUUGCUGGUGAACUCUUGGGAUGACAAACAUCUUUCUUUAGGAGGGUUUUGUGAAUCAUCUUUUAAUGAGAGAUAGCAGCAGCUGAGCAGCUAUUAUAGUGGAUUCAGUUCAUCUUCAGGCUGGGCUCUGUAUCAUUAUGAGAUUAGAAACAAAAUACUGAAUUGGGAUAAAAAAGUGAAGUCUUUGUAAGAAAAAAUAGAUGGUGAACACAGCAUGAUUGAAAAGUGAGAGGGGAUCAUUAAUGUCUUUUUCCACAGAAAUCUGGAUGUGAGGGAUUGAGCUGAUUGUAAUAGAUUCCCCCAGCCCUUUUUCCCCUCCCUCCAUUCUGCUGCCUCUGAUAUGGAGAUUUACACUGACCUCUCAGCUUUUAAAUCAUGCAAUUUGCCAGCUCUUUGAUAGAAUGAACAUUCUCACUGGCCACUUAAUUCCUUUCUGAUCAGUACUACGUGACACCAGCAAUCAGAGGGCCUUUGAUUCACCAGGAAAAAAGGGAGAAUGGAAAUGGACUUUUUUCACCCUAACAGAGCAUUGCCCUAGUCCCAUGAGCUGGCUGUAAUCCCAGUUUCAUUUUUCUCUUUCCUGUUCUUUAGCGAUGUUAGAAACCCAGCUUUAAGCUAAGCAAGAACAAGAUAAGACAAGUUCUUUUACCAUUUGAAUACUAAGCAAAUAAAUCUUUUUAUCUCUCCCUGACUUCAGGUGCAGGAAGUAAAAAACCUUUUCUGUAUUAACACUGAAUAGGGCUGGUCCAUUCUACUUUCCCUGAAGCUUAGUUGCAUUUCUAAAAAGAGACAUAUUUAACCACAUAAAACAGUAAGAAUUGUAAGGAAAAAAUGUGAAUAUUUUCAAGAAGGCAACACUUAACAGAAGAGAUGGGAAACACAUUGAUCAUUGGAUGCUGAUGCCUCUGAUGGUCUUCUUUAUCAAACCAAGUCCUGGGGAACCAUGAGGGUUAGGGCAGAAUCUCAGCAUCCAGCUUUCUGCAGAGGGAUUUAAUUGAAAACCCAGACAGUAAAACCACCUUCAGUUCAAGCUGUGACAGGAGGAUUCUGGAGAAACUCCAUUAAAUAUUAUUUCAUGAAUCUUGGGCCAAUUUUUUCUUUACCAGUGAAAUUAUUUCAAUACAAUAUGUAAAUAUUAAGAGUUAAAAUUAAAAGGGAAAUAGAAUUUAGAUGUAAUUUAGAGUUUCUGCUCCACCUUCUGUGUGUAUAUAGGGUACAUACACUCCUUUCCUGAGCAUAUCCAUGGUGAGGAGUUGAUGUUUAAUCAGUUUUUGGAUUAUUGUUUUCACCUUGUUUACCAAACAAUGGUGUAACCGCAUAUUAAAACAGAAAAAACAUAUCCUUUCUUAUUCAAAACACUACAGAUUGAUUCAUAAAGCUUUAUAUAUAUGGUACAUUAACGUGGUUUUAAAUUGGAAACAAGGCAGGCUAAAUAUCUUGGUUUGAGGGCUGAAACCACUGGGACAGAAUUCAGGAACCAUUGACGUGAGAAGAUUUCUCCAACAGAAGAAUCUUCAGGACAUUUUGAAAUUACUGAUGUUGAGAAACUUUAGGCAGAUUUGGAACACUAUCAAAUAGAUAAACUUUUCUCACAGUAUGUUAUUUAAUCAUAUUCAAAAUAUUUCUCAGGUUGUUUGAUCAAAGCCAUUGUCAGCUUUGUAAUUUUUGAAGUGAAGUAUUCUCUCUGAUUUUUACAGGAAAGACUUACACACAGUAAAUAGGUGGCAAGGAACUGAUAAAAAGCACAAUACUUUUAAUUUGAUAUAAGUUAUUUUGACAAAAUUCUACCUCAAGAAAAUUUUAGUACAUUCUGGAUUUGUAUGGAACAAAAAAAAGAUCCUAACGUCAUAAUCUAUCUACCAGGAACAUGUACUUUUUCCUUAAAUUGCUCUUUUUAUUGAAUAAUUUAUGAAACUAACCACAGUGGUCGCUGUGUAUAUUACUUAUAUAAAUCAUCACUUCUGAAAAUGUCUUGUCUAUCCGCAGACAUGGUGCUUCAGGUGUUAAACUGCUGAACUGCUUAGCAAAGGUCUAAAAGGAGCUACUGGAUCAGCUGUGACCCAGGCCAAACUUGGGAAAUUAGGGAAUCAUUCCUUCUAUAAAAUCUGUAUUUGCAACUCCAGUUGCAAUUAGAGGUACUGCAUUUAUAGAGAGAGUUCUUGUCAAAUGUGGGAGAAGAAAUCCCUGGAGGUUUGGAGGAGCCGAAGGGGAAUAGUUGCUGGAAAGUUUUAGUUAUGAAGUGAGGAAAAGAUUGUCAAGGUCAUGGUAGCGUGUCAUGGUUUGAGAUUGCCCCCCCGGGAGUCAGAGGGGGGCUCAGAGGUGAUUGGGUGCCAGGGCAGUGUUCCCUGGAGGGCCAAUCACCACUCGUCCUGUUCGCUUCUGCUAAAAAUCACAUAUACACAGCACCGGAAGUUGUUGGCAGUUGUUCUGUUGGUGUCGGCUGCGUGUAGGUGUAGAAGGCCAGGGGGUGGCUGGGCUCCUUCUUUUCCCUUCCAGGGGGGAGGGGGAGCCCUGUGGCCCCCAACUCUGCCUAGGCCAGAGUUAGAGGAAGCAUUUGGAGUGAGUGUUUGUGAGGGACACGACUCACCGCACCUGAGGUAAGAGGAGAGAGGCAGGCCUUGCAGUCAAGCCCUCUUCCCCCUCUCUUUCUGCAGUUAAGCUGUGGAGGGGGGCCUUUUUCUUUCCCUCCACUGUAAAGUGGAGGAGAGGCUCAGCAUUUGAAGCAGAGCCAAGUGGACGGGCUGAUAAUAAAACAGCUCGAUGCUCGGGAGAAGAAUCCCAGGCGAAAUUGGAGACGGGUCAAGGGCUCGGGAGUUGCCCUGCCAAGGCUUGACUGUGGACAGCCGAAAACUGACUUGGAGGAAUGAAGAUUCCAAACACCUACUGUGAUAAGCUACACUACAGCAACAGCGAACCGAGAUAUGAGACUGAGAGAGAGAGAUCACACAGCAGACCAAGGAGAAAGGACUCAAAGCUACUUUCUUGGACUUCGUGAGGAGAAAGACUGCAGCAAACAGACAUCCUCCAUCCAUGUCCUGGGUUCUCUGCUCUGCCUCUGCUGAAUGUGGUGCAUCUGCCUGAAGAGUGUGUGAUCUCAUACCAUAAAUGUUGCCUCACACUUCAUUCUCAAGUUCCUAUGUUAGACUGUCUGGGAUUAGAAACUAAACUGCACAAAAAUUACAUGGAAGGUCUUCUUGGAGCUUCUGGCCCUAGUAAACAGACAUAUUAUGAUGAUGAUGAUGACGAUUAUUAUUAUUCUAAUUAUUAUUAUGAUACCUAGGAGCUGACUUUAAAAUUCUUGAUAUCCUUCUUCAAUUCAGAGCAAAGUGUCAUAUCCAAACCCACUAAAAUAUGGUGACCUUACUUUCUCUCUUUUUUUUUCCCUGACUUUUAAGACAGUAAGCCAUGCAGGACAUAGUUUUGCUUUUUUAUUCUUCUAGAAAAGAUGUCAUCCCUGACCAUUUUGUGGGGGUUUUUGGUUGGUUUGUUGGUUGGGGUUUUUUGUUUUUUAUUUUCCCCCCAUUCUCCAAUAAAGAAGAAUGAAAAUAAACGGGCAUUUGUUUGCUGCUGUACUUCCCAAAGUGGUUCUUCAUUUUGAACAGGUCAGGUUUUUUAAUGCCUGGGUUGAGAAGCUCUGUUUUAGGUGUCCAUCAUGUGACAACUAGCAGGCUUUUUAAAAAAAAUUGCUUUGCGGACAUGCUUUCCAAGUUUUUGUCCACUGCAUUUAGGUGUGUUUUAGGAAGCUGACUGAACACUCCCUGGCAGGAGCAUUUCCACACACCCUGAGAAAAUGGGAAGAUUUUUGAAGUCCUAUGUUGCCUAAGCAUGAACUUUCAUUGCUGUGCUUGUGAAGCUGCUUGAUGAAUCCUUGUUGCAGAAGAAGGCAGAGGAGGGAUCAGCUGCCUGCUGGAAUAAGCCUUCCAGCCCUGAAGUGAUUUCAGGGUGAAGGAUUACAGGGUUUGUAACUGUAAUCCACCUGCCUGAGUUCCCACUGUGGAGCUAAAUCAAAUCUACAAUUAAUCCACGUGUAAUAAUCUUUUUUUGUAAAACCACUGCCAGGUAGAAGGGUUGCAGGUGGACUGAAAACAGGUUAAAUUCAUUUUGAACAUUACAACUGAUAUUGUCCAUAAAAGAGUAUUUGACAGAGACCCCUGUCAACAAUGUGUAUCUGUAUUUUUUCAUUCCCUUUCCAUGAUAAUGGAGAGAAAACCUAUUUUAGUUUAGUUAAUGGAAUUUGUUACUAAGCUUUUGUGAAUUUAGGAUUUUAGAAAUAAUUACAAUUGAUUAAUACGCAAUGCAUGAAUAAUUAUGUAUAUGAUUAGUGUGUACAAUAAUAAUAUACAUGAUUAAUAUGUACAGCAUGAAUAUGUACAACUCAGAGAAGAAUAUAUGUUUUAAGUUGCUAACAGAGGAUUAGGAAGUCAUGAGUCAGAGUACCAGGAAAAGGAGAAGCAACUUAAAUCAUCUGUCUUAAUUUUACUCAUGGGAGACUGAGGGCUAAGUUAAAAUUCUGCAUAGUGUUAGUGAGAGUAAAAAUCAUUAUUGUCUUUAAUAUUGUGGUAGUUUGUGAAAAGGAUUCAGUAACUCAGCUCUGCAUAAUCAGGAUCUAGUUGCAGUGACCCAGGGGGUCACUUCCAGUUCUGUGCCUCUAAUGAUAAUAUUUAAAGGCAAAGCCAUAAUGGAUGUGAAUGGAUUUUUUUCAGCUACACAGAAAAAAUAGCUGCACUUUGUAAACUAAAUGCCCUUGCUUGCUCUGCUGAGACAUGUGUAGAAGUCAUCUACUGACUGUGAAAGUUCCUUAACCUGGUGGUGAGUCAUCCAUCACUGAAUGCUGGAUCCAAUUAGUGAAGUCAGGAUUGUUUUCCCAAUGUCCUCUAAGUAGUUAAAAGAACCUUGAACAAAAACUGAGUACUUUAAGCACUUUGGAGAUCACACUGGGGGGCCAAAAGGAGGAAUGGCAAUUGAUACAAUGAAACCAUUGAAAAAGACAUGAUAUUCUGGAUUUUGGAACGUACUUGUCUCAAGUACAAAGAUGAAGCAAACAGUCCAGCAUACAAAUAGUUAAUUUUCCUGCAGAGACCUCCAUUGGUUAUUGAAGACAGAUCAAAAUUAGAAAUUUUCACUUCACAGGAAAUGAACCAUUUCUGCAUGGCAUUUUAUAGACCUCUUAUUUUUAUAAAACAAUAUGUUUGAAAAAAUCUUAAGUAACUUGAAUUACUGUACUCAAAGCAAACAUUUUGUCUUCUCAUUUUUAAUUUUGAAACAUACAUCAAACAUAGAGUUGAAAAAAACCAAAUUACUAUAAACAAAAAAAUCUCUUCUUUGAAAUUAACAGGAAGCUGUGAUUUUAACCAGAUUAGCAUUUUCCCAGAAAUAUAUUCUGCUAGACAAUAUUGGACUGUUUCAGUUGUUACUAAAUAGAAUAAAAAACAUUUUGAUGAAUGGCUGGACAUAGAGAGAGAUUGGUUUUGAUUUCACUGUGGUGACUCAGGUAUCAUGUAGCAAAACAGUAGUUAUGAAAUCUGGGCUUCUGUGAUGGUCAAACUGCAGCCUGUCUAAAAUGAAGACAGAUACUUAUAUUCUCUGCCUUUUGUUUUGUUUUUUUGAUUCUUCUGUUCCCUUAUUUUAUAUGAAACCAUGUGAUGAAAAUUAUUUUAGAAUAGUUGUUUUUAAUAUAAAAAUAUAUAAAUAAAAUAUUAAUUAGAAAAUAUUAAUUUAUAUCCUGUUAACUAUCCUUUGAUUCAUGAACUGUAGUUAAUCAUGGGUAGAGUUAUAAAAGGAAUUGAGCCUGAAGCUGUUGUACUCGGGUCAUUUAAAAGCCAAUUUUAUGUGCUGUUCUUUCUGUGAUCAAUUGCUGUGUCAUUUGAAAAUGCAUAUAGAAGAAACAGCAAUUGCUCCUUAUGGAAUCAGAUCCCUGCUGCCUCCUGGCUUGACAUGCAGCUCCUCUAUCCACCAGCACACAAGAACAUCCUUACUGAGGGAAGUUCCUGGAGAGACCAGAGUCACAGAAUAUGCUGAUUUGGAAAGGACCCAUCAGGAUCAUUGAGUCCAACUCCUGGCCCUGCACAGGACACCCCAAGAGCCACACCAUGUGCCUGAGAGUGUUGUCCAAAUGUUCUUCAACUCAGACAGCCUUGGAGUUGUGCCCACUGCCCUGGGGAGCCUGUUCAGUGCCCGACCACCCUCUGGGGGAAGAAUCUUUUCCCAAUGUCCAAACUAAAGCUCACCUGACACAACUUCAGACCAUUCCCUGGGGUCCUGUCCCUGGUCCUCACAGAGCAGAGCUCAGUGCCUGCCCUUCCUCUUCCCCUCCCGAGGAAGCUGUAACUGCAAUGAGGUCUCCCUCAGUCUCCUCUUCUCCAGCUGAACACACCAAGUGCCCUCAGUUGAUCCUCAUAAGGCUUCCCCUCCAGACCCUUCACCAUCCUCAUGGCCCUCCUUUGGACACUCUCCAAUAGCUUAAUGUCUUUUUUUAUAUUGUGAUGCCCAAAACUGCACAGAGGACUCAAGGUGAAGCCGACCCAGGGCAGAUCCAGCUGUAGUGCUUUGCUUCAAUGUGCAAAACACCUUCUCUCUGGCUCAAAGCUUCAGGGACUCCUCCCACGUGGGUGCUGAACCUUCCUCAUGGAAAUGAUGUAGCUCAUAAUGUCAUUGCUUGGCAGGGAGAGAAGAGAGGCUAGAGAAGCAGAGAAUCUGCUUUGUUUUGAGGGCAGUGGUGAGGCUCCCUAUACAAUUUAGGGGUUACAGCCUCUGAUGGGGAAAGACAACCUAAGGAACCACUGCUCUGUUUCUGGAAAGAUAAGGCUACAAAAAUACCAUGAGGGCCCAGAGAUCUUCAGCUGGCAGAAAUCAUUACUGCUAAGCUGAUGUCAAAGGCAGCAGCACUGAUUUACACCAGCUGAGGCCAAGGGAUAGGCCAAGGUGGGGGCAGAGCUACAAAAAGUACAAAUGAGCUCCUAGAAGACAAGCCUUUGUUUCCACUGAUGUAGAACUACAUUUAAUUUGCCAGUAUGGACUGAGAGUAGUUAUCAAGUUUAUUUAUAACCUUAAGGAUAGAAAUUCAUCAAUGAGAGCUUUCCUCACAGUCUCUACUUUAUAUCUGCAGUAGAAGUAAAAAAUAACCAGUGGAAGUGAAAUAAAUUGGUUUAUGUGGCAUUGGAAGUUUUAUGUUAGUAUAUUAUAAAAUAACAAACACAUAGACAUAAAUUGUCCUGGAUAAUAAUAUCAGAUGCCAUCUAUGAAUUUAUAAUUUACUAAUUACCAGACAAAGAGCAGCAAGCUCUUUAGCAUCUCUCAGUUACAGGAAGCAAACAGCCUGAUCUGCUAAUACACUGUUCGUCUCUGUGGAAAUUAGAAGAUUGUGUUCUAACCUUUGCUGAGAAUCAUCCAAUCAUUUCAUAUUAACCAUUACAGCUUGAGGUGCUGCAUUUACUGCUACAGUGUAAAUGACAGUGACUUCUGGAUAGAUUUUCAUGGUGGCCUCCUUCAAGCUAAGCAAUGUGCUCUGCCCCAAGACUAUUUCUCAGGUCUCAAGUGUCCCCAUCCUGCAGUCCCAGGCUGCUUGAUAUAAAUCCUUCAGAGCUAUGACAAUCUUAUGCCUUUUAUAGGGUAUUGUGGCAGGGUUUCUUAGUUUGAGAGCAGCCUCCAGGCAAAUAACUUAGUGGCUGAAGCAAUUUCAGCAAAACAUUUGUUUGAGGGUUUUUUUCUGGGAGGAGUAAGAUGACUUUCAAAAACUAGAAGUCUCCAGAGAAAUGUGAGAUCCUUUCUCAAGCAUAUUUUUCCAGGUCAAAAUCAGAGAAGCCAGAAUGCUUUUCAAUGAUGACACAUAAGGUGACUAUGAAUACCCACCUAAGUGCAGGACAGCUGGGAGAGCUACACCUGCCCUGCUUUAGAAAACUCAGGUUUUCUGCAUGUCAUCUGAGUGUCUGAGCCUGUACCCUUGGAGGACUCAGCAGAAGUUACCUAAGGUCCUGAGCAAGCUGGUUUCAGAGGCACCACCACAAAUUCUCUGAGAAAAAAUUUUUAAUAAAGGUAAAUUCACCAAAAGCUGUUGAGCUCAAUGUUGUACAAGUAGAAUCUUCUCCAGGAUCUGGGCUUUCCCUGCAUUGGGGAAAUUUCCCUGCAUUGCUUCUGCGAGGACUGUAAGUGAUCUCUCACGUGUUUCUGUCCCUCACUGAGCCUUGUUUGCUGUAUUUAGCUUAGCUUUAGGGAAAUGGCUGAAAAUCUGCACCCCAAAUAAUCCCGAGGAAAGGUGAUUUGAAGCUAGGAAAUGUACUUAGCUUUUUCCUUCUGGGAUUUUUCUGGUAGCAAUGUCAAGUCUCAAAUUCAUAAUCUGCAAAAGGUACUUAACUCGUCUCAGUGCAAUAGUGUAAAAUAAGUAAAUUCUGAUACGUCAAAAAAUAUUCUUUGGACAAGAAAAAUCAUCUCUAUGAAAUAACUUCAUCUGUUCUGGCGUUUUUGCAUUUCUUCCUUCCAUCUAAUUAUAUGUACAUAUAUACACACGUGCAAACUUUUGUAAA